CAAUUUACAAAAUUUAAAAGGAAAAUGAGCGAUCAUAGAGAGCGACGAAAAUUAUGUAGUUCAAAAAGAGUGCCUGUUUUUUCAGCAUUAUUUCUAUUAAUCGCCACGACUGCUGUUUUCUUUGUAUUCCCGUAAGUAUACAGUUUAUUGUCAUGCCUUAAACGUGUCGAAACUCCUCAAAAUCGUGUUGUUUUUGUUGAUUUUAGUUGUCGCUAUCUUGUGGCUGAAGUAUCGCCAUGGAUAGCUGUGUACGAAGCUAUUUUAACACUCGUUAUAAUUAGUAAUUUUUUCCAAGCUACUAUUCAAGACCCUGGCAAGAUACCAAGAG